AUGAAACACUCCUACGGGAGGCAGCAGUGGGGAAUUUUGGACAAUGGGGGCAACCCUGAUCCAGCAAUGCCGCGUGUCUGAAGAAGGCCUUCGGGUUGUAAAGGACUUUUGUCAGGGAAGAAAAGGCUGUUGCUAAUAUCGACAGCUGAUGACGGUACCUGAAGAAUAAGCACCGGCUAACUACGUGCCAGCAGCCGCGGUAAUACGUAGGGUGCGAGCGUUAAUCGGAAUUACUGGGCGUAAAGCGAGCGCAGACGGUUACUUAAGCAGGAUGUGAAAUCCCCGGGCUCAACCUGGGAACUGCGUUCCGAACUGGGUGACUAGAGUGUGUCAGAGGGAGGUAGAAUUCCACGUGUAGCAGUGAAAUGCGUAGAGAUGUGGAGGAAUACCGAUGGCGAAGGCAGCCUCCUGGGAUAACACUGACGUUCAUGCUCGAAAGCGUGGGUAGCAAACAGGAUUAGAAACCCCAGUAGUCCGAAGUUC
rnacentral:rRNA from 1 species